ACAAUCUCAGUGCACAGUGAGCUUGAAACCUGCUCCAUGACCUUCUGAGGUCUCCUCUCUGUAUAUGGCUGACAAAACCUCUCCCUGAUAGCACCAGCACCUAUACAGUGACCUCGCCUUGGAUGAAUCUGUAAUUCUCUGAAGGGAGUGAUUUUUCCAGACCAUCUUGAGGGGAUGAAUUGGUGACAUGUGUAAAUUGCUUGUAAUUUUCCUUGUUGGCUGUGAAGUCAGCCUUGCUCCAUCUAAUGGAAUGUCUACAAAAAGCCACAGGAUCUCCAUUCACUUAUUCAUUCAUUCAUUCACUCAUUUACCAGAUACAUUUCUUAAAUCAUCUUCUCAAUAAGUCUUGUCUGAGAAAACUUUGAAAUUCAUACUGACUACUGAGAUUACAGGAUCGAAUUUGUCAAUUAAUUACAAAGAGACCCUGAACUGAAAAGACAAAGGCUCAUAUCAGCCCAGUGAAGAUUUGAAUGGGUUAACUUGGAGUGACAUAAACCCCCAAACUAGCUUCCUAAUGUACAGUGUGGGCAGGUAACAAGGGCAUUAAAAAAUGGGAUAUUUCCAAUUAGAUGCAUUUUUCUAUUUAAAUUGUACUAUAGUUUUAUUUGAAAAGCAGUCCAUGUGCUUAUGGAAAAUAUAUAAGAUUUUAGAAGUCCUUAUAUUCUUACCCAAAAUAAGCAGCGUUACAGUUUAUUAUGUUUUCCUCUAGUCUUUAUUUUUUCUUCAUGUAGUUUUUUGGUAACAAAUGUAUGUGUAUAUAUGGAUAUACAUAUGGUAACAUGUAUGUGUGUGAAUAUAUAAUAUUUAAUGGGCAGUAAAUAUUUAUAAGACUUCAGUUUUUUUUCUUUUUAUAUUUACACUAGGGAUAAUAAUAGUAUCUCUCUCAUAAGCUGGUAAAUAUUAAAUAAGUCAAUACAGGAGUUCCUGUCAUGGCUCAGUGGUUAACGAAUCCGACUAGGAACCAUGAGGUUGCCUUGCUCAGUGGGUUAAGGAUCCUGUGUUGCCAUGAGCUGUGGUAUAGGUUGCAGACACGGCUCGGAUCUGGCAUUGCUGUGGCUCUGGUGUAGGCUGGCAGCUACAGCUUCGAUUAGACCCCUAGCCUGGGAACCUCCAUAUGCCAUAGAAGCGGCCCUAAAAAGACAAAAAAUAAAUAAAUAAACGAAUAAAUAAAAUAAAAAAAUAAAUAAGUCAAUACAAAAAGAGCCUCUAGAAAAUGCUUGUUGCAUACUUAGCAUUUUAUAAAGGCUAGCUAUUAUUAUUUUGCUACUAUUAUGUGUUUCCUGAUCUUUUUACUUAGCCUAUUAUGUGCAUUUUCCCGUGUUAGGAUGCAUUUAUCCCAAGAACAUGUCCUUUGUAAUGGAUGUGAAAUAGUCCGUUGAGUCAAAUUAUUUUUUAUUGAACAAAGUAACAUCUCUCUAUAUUUUGUUCCAUAAAACUGGGUGGGAGAUUUUUUUUUUUUUCAGGCUAAAUAUACUAACCAAAAUAUCAUGAAAUAUAACUCAAGUUUUUUGAAUGGCUCGCAGAAUCCCUAGUUAAAUUUGAAUUUCAGAUAAACAAAACUUUUUUUUUAGCUUAAGUAUGUCCUAAACAGUGCAUGGAAUAUAUUUAUACUGAAAUAUUAUUUGUUGUUUAUCUGAAAUUCAAAUUUAACUGGGCCAUCUGCAUUUCUAUGUGUUAAAUCUGGCAACUCUAGGAGUGAGAUGAGAAGAAGAAAGAGGAUCUGCCUACUCUGCCUAAUUGACACGAGUUUUUUUUUUUUUUUUUCAAAAAAGAAAUUCAUUUUAAUUUCUUUGAACACUCUAUGGCUUGGUAACAGCUAAGCAGAAAAUAGAAGUGAUAAAUAAGGAAGAAAAAAGGAAAGAAAAAAAAACAGGCACAAAAUUGUUUCAAAAAGGUCAUUUGAAGUAAUCGUAUUGCACCUAACCAAGGUUAUUGAAAAUGUGUAAAACAAAGGAAGAUAUUUAUGAAUACCUAUUAGCUUGAUGUUUUUAAAACACCACAGGAAAUUCAGUCUGAUUUUGUAGAUGAUCAUCAAUAUGGUUUGUGUUUUAUGAAGUUGUUCUAGGCUUUUGGCGUUUCAGAGAGAACAUUCUUAUGCGGCAGCUCAUACCUGAAAAGACUCUUGGGAAAUUCUGCUGAGGAUGUAGCCAGUGGCAGAACCAUCUGUUGCCAGUUUUAGAGCAAUGGUUAAGGAGGGGAGACUCUCUCCCUAGAAAGAAAGCCCCACCUGCAAAAGCCCCUCCCAACCCUUUGUGGACCAGCGGGUUCUAAGAGAGGUUUCCCAUAGGUCUCUACACAAGAAGGUACCCUGAGAUCUCUACGGUGUGAAAGAACCAAAGGAUCAUUCGUGAGUCAUUUGCUGAUAUUCAGUGGCUGAGGGGUUUCUUAGAGCUGCAGGUGGUUGGAAAGGGACACUCAAAACUUUGUCUUUUUUUUUUUUUUUUUUUUUUUUGGAUGCACCUAUGGCAUAUGGAAAUUCCCAGUCCAGAGAUCAAAUUCGAGCCACAGCUGAAACCUGCUCCACAACUGGGGCAAUGCUGGAUCCUUAACCCACUGCAUCACAGUAGGAACUCCUCAAAGCCUUGUCUCAAAGCUGUCCUUUAAGAAGAAGCUGAAUGUCCUUACUUGGAUGGCAUGUUUUUGGGGGGUAGGCGAAGGAGCAGGUAGCAAAGGGAUAGUGGUGAGAGUCUAAAUCCUCCCCCUUCCACUCUGUGUCAUUACUUUUGAUGUCAUUAGCUAUUGGCAUGGGGUUUGAAGGAUCAGAAGAAAAGAAAGGCUGGUGCUCUUUAAAUAUGACCUAAAAGAUUAACACUGGGAAGAAACAUUUCUAACCAGACUGUAUAAACUAUAUGCUGUCACCAAAGUUUCUCUUAUUUUGUUUUCACCAAAAGCCAUCCACCAAAAUGCAAGUCUAUGUCUCUUCUGAAGACCUCUCCCCGGCAUCCAGUUGGCUGUUAGUUCAAUGCUGGGCAUAAGAGUGGGUCUGAUAGAGGUGGCUCUGGCUGGCUGAUGACCUUCAGCAUGAUCUGCUCCCAUCACACCAGGCACCUGCUUGCUUCCUAUCGCCUCGCCCGUCUAACUCACGCUGUCUUUGAGUUUUAUAUAGUACAAGAUACUAUUUCAUGCUUUCAUUUGCACCUGCUGUUUUCUUUGCUUCCAAGAAAGCCCUGCCCCUCUUCUUCCUUCACUUUCCUUUUCCCCAAAGAUUGCCUGGUGUCCUCCUAUUUCUCCUUCAGAACCAGCUCAGAUGUCAGUUUCUGCAGGAUUCCUGACACCUCCACGAUUAAAAGCCCUUUCCUUUUGCUAUUUCUUCAUCCUUCUCAAACUUUAUGUUGUGUCAGAUGAUUUGUUCAUUUUGUUUAUAUAAUCUCUUUCACUCCUAAGUUUGAUGAGAGCAAAGUCCAUCUUUUGUUUUGUUUUUUUGGGGGGUUUUUGUUUGGUUUGGUUUUUUGCUUUUUUUUUUUUUUUUUUUUUUUGAGGGCUGCUCCCUCGGCACAUGGAGUUUCCCAGGCUAGGGGUCGAAAUGGAGCUGUAGCUGCCAGGCUACACCGCAGUCACAGUAACGCAAUAUCCGAGCCCAGUCUACGACCUACACCCCACUCACUGCAAUGCCCCAUCCCCAACCCACUGAGCAAGGCCAGGGAUCAAACCCACAGCCUCAUGGUUACUAAUCGGAUUAACUUCUAUUGUGCCACAAUGGGAACUUCUCCAUCUUUUUAUUUGUCUUUAUUUCCCCAGUAAUUAGACAGGGGCUGGUACAUCAUAAACAAUCAUUAUUUAUUGUAUGAAUAAGUCCGAGAUUUUAGACUUAGCAAUUAUUCAAUAUUCAAUAAAUUUCAAUGUAUUCAAUUAAAAUACAUUAUUCAAUACAUUUCGAAAAACCUGAGCUCUCAGCUGCACUAUAGGAUGAAUUUUCUAAGUAGUAGUGCUCUUUCUAGAGCCAUGGCUUUGAGAUCCAAAACAGGACUGUGCAUAAUCAUUUUAGCUCCUUGCUAGGGCUUUGCUCCUAUAAUGAUUUAUGGUUAUAUCUUUCAAUUUUUCCAUUCUAUUCCUGUGGUAAACUCCUCAGAAUGCUCAGUCAGGCAAAGGAAACAAACACAGUAAAGUCUGAUUUAAACUUUCUUGUUCUCUUGGCUCUUCCAGUCAGAAUAAGAAAGAAGUUACAGAAGUUAGUAGGGUACAAGUAUUUUUACAGAGAAUGACAUGACCACACCGUCAGUGAUAAAGCAGAAACGGGAAAAUUCUGCUUCAGAGGACGUGGUGGAGAGAAGCUCCCUUCACAGUCUCCAUCAACAAGAGUCUUUGGGUACCUGCUAAUUCUGUGAUUCAUGUCUCUAUUUGAUGUGAAGUGUUACAGUCAUCUGCUCCUUCUUGAUCUCAUGAAUAAAUAAAUCCUUCCUUGGAAACAGAGAAGUGGACGGAUUGCCACUAACCCUCAGAGACUUCACUGAACUGGGAGUGACUCAUUCCACGUGGCAUCAAGCCUCUUUCUUUGACUAAUGUCUCAUUGAAGUUGUGCAAGUGACUAACAGAUGGGAAAGUUUUCUGGAGAAAGUUGGUUGUUUGUAAGUUUAAGUCUGUUUGAAGAGUCCCUGGUAUCGGCUCUUGAAUUGCUCUGCUUUUUAUUUGGAUCAGGCAUUGUUAAUUCAAACUUGGUUUAAAACGGCCCUAAAGGUUUAGAUUUGCUCUUUUCUCUCAAGUGUGAAAGACAAGAACUUCUGUCUUUAAACAAAUUCUGCAGGUCAAGAGAUUUUCAUUAAAAUAAAGCGGUAGCCUCUAAGUAUGUGACUAUUUUAAGAGCAUUAAAUGGAGUAAAUGGAGUUUGCCAUCCUUAGAACAUGGCUCCUGGAUCAAGACCUCUUGAGAACAGGGAUCCUGUCUUAGCUGUUAUUAGUAUUUUUUGUUUACUGCUCCCCCCUCCAUUAUUGAGUUCCACCCUAAGUCUCUGCUUUGGGUUAGUAACAUCCUCUCUGGCCUCCUUUGGAAUAGCAUUUCCUAGUGUGAGUCUGGUAUUUACUUUUCUUAAAAACAUUGGUUAAAAAAUAUUUUUCUUCUUCUCUUAAGGACCUCGACACGAGACU
rnacentral:lncRNA from 1 species